rnacentral:rRNA from 1 species
UACGUAGGGUGCGAGCGUUGUCCGGAAUUACUGGGCGUAAAGAGCUCGUAGGUGGUUUGUCGCGUUGUUCGUGAAAACCGGGGGCUUAACCCUCGGCGUGCGGGCGAUACGGGCAGACUGGAGUACUGCAGGGGAGACUGGAAUUCCUGGUGUAGCGGUGAAAUGCGCAGAUAUCAGGAGGAACACCGGUGGCGAAGGCGGGUCUCUGGGCCGAUAUUGACGCUGAGGAGCGAAAGCGUGGGGAGCGAACAGG